GGGUCUUUAGCUCAGCAGUAGAGCGGCAGACUUCGGUUUAGUCGAAGAUCCUUUUCUCGAGGUAUUCUGCAGGUCGCGGGUUCAAUCCCCGUAGGACUCU